CCUACGGGAGGCAGCAGUGGGGGAUAUUGCACAAUGGGGGUAACCCUGAUGCAGCGACGCCGCGUGGGUGAAGAAGCGCCUCGGCGCGUAAAGCCCUGUCAGCAGGGAAGAAAAUGACGGUGCCUGAAGAAGAAGCCCCGGCUAACUACGUGCCAGCAGCCGCGGUAAUACGUAGGGGGCAAGCGUGAUCCGGAGUUACUGGGUGUAAAGGGGGCGCAGACGGCGAUGCAAGCCAGGAGGGCACGCCCGGGGCCCAACCCCGGGACGGCUCUUGGAACUGGGGGGCUGGAGUGCAGGAGGGGGAGGCGGAAGUCCUGGUGUAGCGGUGAAAUGCGUAGAUAUCAGGAGGAACACCGGUGGCGAAGGCGGCAUGCUGGACUGCAACUGACGUUGAGGCCCGAAGGCGUGGGGAGCAAACAGGAUUAGAUACCCCAGUAGUC
rnacentral:rRNA from 1 species